CCAUAAAACUCUAGGAGAUGCAGUGAAGAAGAAAAGAUGCAGAAAAUAUCACGAACACUAGACAAGGUGACUCCUACCGUCGCCGCCCGAAGACGAUACGGCCCGCCGCCAAUCUAGACCCCGCGCAAAUGUUACACAGGUGUCAUGGAGCAUCAGGAUCCCAACACCUGCCACAAGCGUUCCUUGUACCUCAUCAUGGAAUAAUCAGUGAAAUCACAGGUUAUGGUGGGAUGGUAUGUUUGUAUUUACAAAUUAACAAUACAACCUUAACACAAAAAAUCCAGAUUGAAUGUAUGUUGAUCAUUUUACAGUCUUAGUUUAUAAAAAUAGAAUGGUCAAACAUUAUCACAAAAUAAAUAUGAUACACAAAA